rnacentral:lncRNA from 1 species
GCUGCCCUUGGCCGUGUCCACUCAGUGUCCUCACGGCACAGGUGCCCAGUAGUAUGGCUGUGACCUGUGACCAGGGGUAGCAACAUGAGACAUGGGAGAGGUAUCCCAGCCAAGAGGCCCUGCCAAGCCUCCCCAGCAAACCGGAGCAAGGCCCAGGGCGGUAGGGAGAGCGCUGUGCUCAUGCUGUAGGCAGUUCAGCUUCUGCAAACUGUCCAUUGACUGCAAAUUACUUUGUUUCCAUGGUUACAAAAGAACCAUAAGCAUUCUGAAAUAUGUUCUUGGUUUCAUGUUUGCGAAAUCUAAGCAACAUCAUAAGAAAAAUCACUGAAUUCUGUCCGAGGCUCUAGGGGUGUUUUCCUCUCUGAAAGGAGCCCCUUCCGGGACUUGGGAUUGAGUGACAGCCUUCAAUCACGGUUCUCCUGGUGGUAACAGGGAACUCCUCAGCCUGCCGGGAGCUGGGGCCCUCGACAGCCUCAUGGCUCCACACGCCAGGGUUCUAAGGAUCACACGUGUGCAGAUAGCAAAGCUUGCUGCACACACGCCAGGUGCUAACAAGCCCCAAACUUCUCACUCAUACUUGCUAACUACAUCUCUUCUCCCAGCCUCCAUGGCGUUUCACACUCUGCCUUUAUAUAGAGAUGAACCAUGCAUCCUGAGUGCUACAAAGAUUCACCUCCUUCCGGGCAGAAGGGUGCAUCUUUCCAUCACGGGGUCUUCACGCGAGCCGGCCCAGGAUUUGCAGAGUGGGACCAACUUCAAAGGCCUGCAAAGCCAGAGAAGGGAGAGGAGAUGGAACACGCCCUCACCUCAGACCUGCUGCAAGCACGUACUUCUCAGAUGCAUCCCAAGGUGCACAGCGUGUCCGAUGCCUGUUUCACAUCCAUCGACCUGCAGGUCUUCUAUGUGGCAUCAGCCUCCUGAGCACUGGAAACAAGAGGUAUAAUGGCAAGUCCCCUCUGCAGCAAAGGUGAGGAAAAGGGACCCGACGCAAUGGAACUGUCCUUUUUCUGACAGUCUCAAAACAGAAGGAAAAUACUGUACAGCCAACUUCCCCUCACGCAGGUUUAUUUACCUGUGACUCAGAGGCCAUGACAGACAACUUCAGGUUCUCACCGAUUCCUAUUUUCCCCAUCCAGGAAGCCUUUGUUUUUAAUAUCGCAUUUAACUUGCCAUUUUGUAGACCAAAAACAGCAAAUAUUGGCAGUUUCCUACAGUUCAACCGAAUAAAAUAUGAUCAUGGCCUUUUGUGAAACCAUGAAGAAAAGGUGGAUAUCUCAAUAUGUGUUUCCAGACUGGCUUUGUUCCUGAAGCACUAACUCUGUUCACUCAGGAUUUUAGACACUGAAGAAUAAACAUCAAUAUCCCACCAAGAAAACCAAAAGGAUGAAAUAAUUUCGCAUCCACCUUGGAGCCUUUUUAGGACAAGGCAGGACACAAACUUUUAAAAAGCUGCAGUUGUCCCUCUGUAUACACAGGGACAUGGAUUCCAGAACACUCCCCGAGUUUACCCAAAUCUAUGUAUCCACAGGACCCGCGGCCACCCUAUGGAACCGCAUGUAGGAAACGUCGGCCCUCCACAAAGCCAGGUUUUUUCAGUAAGGGUUGGUUGGAAAAUAAUUACCAUAAGUGAUCCUUCGAAGCUCAAAACCUAUGUUGUUCAGGGUCAGCUGCAUUUACUACUUGUGUCAUAUCUGAGGCCUGAAAGCCAUCAUUCUCGAUACCUUAACGUGAUGGUUAACAAACUAACUGUUCUGAUUAGAAAGAGGAAAAAGCUUAUUUUUAAGCUGACAAUGAGAGUGGAUGUGCUACGGUGAACGGAGAACAGACCUAAGCAAGCACCAAGGCUGGGGUGACUGCCUGUGCUCAGACGCACCAGGACGUGUUCCUCCAUCUCCCUCUGCUGAAAGGGGUAACGGCUUCUCCCCCACGAGUAAAGGGCCUUUUUUAAAUAUUCACACGAGAAGUGCUAUGAAAAGCUGAAAGGUCACAGAUAACAUUUUUAAAAAUAAACAUUAACGUAAGCAUUUAACAAGCCCAUUAUGAUUAAAAAAAAAAGGUAUUAAGUUCUUGGGUGUGGUGGCUCAUGGCUGUAAUCCCAGCAGUUUGGGUGGCCGAGGUGGGUGCAUCACCUGAGGUCAAGAGUUUAAGACCAACCUGGCCAACAUGGUGAAACCCCGUCUCUAAAGAAUAUAUGAAAAUUAGCCAGGCAUGGUGGCAGACGCCUAUAGCCCCAGUUACUUGGGAGGCUGAGGGAGGAGAAUCACUUCAACCCGGGAGGGAGAGUUUGCAAUCAGCCAAGAUCAUGUCAUUGCACUUCAGCCUGGGCAUUGAGUGUGAAACUCCAUCCCAAAAAGAAAAAAAAAAGUAUAAAGUUUUCCUUCUAAUGAACCUAUCAUUCAGCCACUGAGGUAUACUAUAGCUACUUAUUCAACCAUGAGAUACACCACAGGAGAUAUAGGCGAACAGGACACAGUUCUUCUCUGAAAGAAGGCUGCACCCUCAACAGAAGGGAGGCACACCCUCCGAAUGGAAUCGGCAUAGGGAACAGAUGCUGCUGCAGGUGGAACUGGCUGCACAGAGCACCCGCUCAAGUGUCUGAGAAACAAGGAGCCGUUGAUGCCAACACCUUCCAUACCUGAGCUGGGGUAGUGGGGAGCCUGUCAUCACCACCACCACCACCCGGACAAAGAGCCCCAGAACCACACAACGAG